rnacentral:rRNA from 1 species
GAUUGAAGGCUGAAAUUCGCCUUCAUGAAGUCGGAAUUGCUAGUAAUGGCAGGUCAGCAUACUGCCGUGAAUACGUUCCCGGGCCUUGUACACACCGCCCGUCACACCAUGAGAGUUGGAGAUACCCGAAGCCUAUGAGCUAACUUUUAGAGGCAGUAGUCGAAGGUAGAAUCAAUGAUUGGGGUGAAGUCGUAACAAGGUAUC